GCGCCCCGCCAACCAGCUGGAGAUGGCUUAAACUUACUCCCGAAGAAGCUCCCUUCCAUUUCUCUCACACUAACGGACAAUAAGGAGGCCUCGAGCUAGGCAGGCCAGGGCCGUACCCGAGCUGCUGGCAGGGAGCAAACCUCAGGAAAGUCAAGCCACCAAAAAACUGUAAGCCUCAAUCAACUGAGAGGAAAGCACAAGAGGACCAGGUGUCACAGGACAGAGGCCAAACCACAACUCCCAGCAGGUCACGCGGAGUAGGGCGGGUAAGCGCGCCUUCUUAUUGGAUGGCGAUGGACAGCGUGCUCUUACGUCCCACCCCAGAAGGCAAGUCCCCUGCGCGCGGGGAACGGCGGGAGUAAGAGUCUGCGGGACCGGCAGCUGUACUUCAUAUCCCAGCGGGCCGAGCGCUGAAGGCAGCGGCGCGGCGCCUUUGUGGUAGCAGUGGCCCCGCGCGGAGGAAGUUCCGGUGUCCGCGGCGCUGGGUCGGUGGCGGAGGCUGAGGAGAAGGAGGAGCGGGCCGUGGAGGCUUCGCCGCCUAGGUACUGCUAUAACCAGAAUUUGGUAGAAAAAGGAUUUACUUGUUGGGGCCCUCUUGAUAAAAAGAGAUGUGGGGGGAUUCUCGACCUGCUAACAGAGCUGGACCUUUUCGUGGGAGCCAAGAAGAAAGGUUUGCUCCCGGGUGGAACAGGGAUUAUCCUCCUCCUCCCCUUAAGAGUCAUGCUCAAGAGAGACACUCUGGCAACUUUCCUGGCAGAGAUUCACUUCCCUUUGAUUUCCAGGGGCAUUCGGGGCCUCCUUUUGCAAAUGUAGAGGAGCAUUCUUUCAGCUAUGGAGCUAGAGACGGACCGCAUGGUGACUAUCGAGGAGGGGAGGGACCUGGACAUGAUUUCAGGGGGGGAGAUUUUUCGUCUUCUGAUUUCCAGAGCAGAGAUUCAUCACAGUUGGACUUCAGGGGUAGGGACAUACAUUCUGGGGAUUUUCGGGAUAGAGAAGGACCACCUAUGGACUAUAGGGGUGGAGAUGGUACUUCUAUGGAUUAUAGAGGUAGGGAGGCACCUCAUAUGAACUACAGAGACAGGGAUGCUCACGCUGUUGACUUCAGAGGUAGGGAUGCUCCUCCAUCUGACUUCAGGGGCCGGGGCACUUAUGAUUUAGAUUUUAGAGGCCGGGAUGGAUCCCAUGCAGAUUUUAGGGGAAGGGAUUUAUCAGGUUUGGAUUUUAGGGCCAGAGAACAGUCCCGUUCUGAUUUUAGGAAUAGAGAUGUAUCUGAUUUGGACUUUAGAGACAAAGACGGAACACAAGUAGACUUUAGAGGCCGAGGUUCAGGUACUACUGAUCUAGACUUUAGGGACAGGGAUACGCCACAUUCAGAUUUCAGAGGUAGACACCGAUCUAGGACUGAUCAGGAUUUUAGGGGCAGAGAGAUGGGAUCUUGUAUGGAAUUUAAAGAUAGGGAGAUGCCCCCUGUGGAUCCAAAUAUUUUGGAUUACAUUCAGCCCUCUACACAAGAUAGAGAACAUUCUGGUAUGAAUGUGAACAGGAGAGAAGAAUCCACACAUGACCAUACGAUAGAAAGGCCUGCUUUUGGCAUUCAGAAGGGAGAAUUUGAGCAUUCAGAAACAAGAGAAGGAGAAACACAAGGGGUAGCCUUUGAACAUGAGUCUCCAGCAGACUUUCAGAACAGCCAAAGUCCAGUUCAAGACCAAGAUAAGUCACAGCUUUCUGGACGUGAAGAGCAGAGUUCAGAUGCUGGUCUGUUUAAAGAAGAAGGCGGUCUGGACUUUCUUGGGCGGCAAGACACCGAUUACAGAAGCAUGGAGUACCGUGAUGUGGAUCAUAGGCUGCCAGGAAGCCAGAUGUUUGGCUAUGGCCAGAGCAAGUCUUUUCCAGAGGGCAAAACUGCCCGAGAUGCCCAACGGGACCUUCAGGAUCAAGAUUAUAGGACCGGCCCAAGUGAGGAGAAACCCAGCAGGCUUAUUCGAUUAAGUGGGGUACCUGAAAAUGCCACAAAAGAAGAGAUUCUUAAUGCUUUUCGGACUCCUGAUGGCAUGCCUGUAAAGAACUUGCAGUUGAAGGAGUAUAACACAGGUUACGACUAUGGCUAUGUCUGCGUGGAGUUUUCACUCUUGGAAGAUGCCAUCGGAUGCAUGGAGGCCAACCAGGGAACUCUAAUGAUCCAGGACAAAGAAGUUACCCUGGAGUAUGUAUCAAGCCUGGAUUUUUGGUACUGCAAACGAUGUAAGGCAAACAUUGGUGGGCACCGAUCUUCCUGUUCAUUCUGCAAGAACCCAAGAGAAGUGACAGAGGCCAAGCAAGAAUUAAUAACCUACCCUCAGCCUCAGAAAACAUCCAUACCAGCACCAUUGGAAAAACAGCCCAACCAGCCCCUAAGACCAGCUGAUAAGGAACCUGAACCCAGGAAGAGGGAAGAAGGCCAAGAGUCACGCUUAGGACAUCAAAAGAGAGAAGCAGAAAGGUAUCUGCCUCCUUCUCGAAGGGAAGGGCCAACUUUCCGAAGAGACCGAGAGAGGGAGUCAUGGUCUGGAGAGACACGCCAGGAUGGAGAGAGCAAAACUAUCAUGCUAAAGCGUAUCUAUCGUUCCACACCACCUGAGGUGAUAGUGGAAGUGCUGGAGCCCUAUGUCCGCCUUACUACUGCCAACGUCCGUAUCAUCAAGAACAGAACAGGCCCUAUGGGGCAUACCUAUGGCUUUAUUGACCUCGACUCCCAUGCGGAAGCUCUUCGUGUGGUGAAGAUCUUACAGAACCUUGAUCCGCCAUUUAGCAUUGAUGGGAAGAUGGUAGCUGUAAACCUGGCCACUGGAAAACGAAGAAAUGAUUCUGGGGACCAUUCUGACCACAUGCAUUACUAUCAGGCUAAAAAAUAUUUCCGAGAUAGGAGGGGAGGUGGCAGAAAUUCAGACUGGUCUUCAGAUACAAAUCGACAAGGACAACAGUCAUCAUCUGACUGCUACAUAUAUGAUUCUGCUACUGGCUACUAUUAUGACCCCUUGGCAGGAACUUAUUAUGACCCCAAUACCCAGCAAGAAGUCUAUGUGCCCCAGGAUCCUGGAUUACCUGAGGAAGAAGAGAUCAAGGAAAAAAAACCCACCAGUCAAGGAAAGUCAAGUAGCAAGAAGGAAAUGUCUAAAAGAGAUGGCAAGGAGAAAAAAGACAGAGGAGUGACGAGGAGACAGGAUCUUGCUAGAUUGACCAGGCUGAUCUCGAACUUCUGGCCUCAAGCCGGAGUACAGUGCCACGAUAUUGGCUCACUGCAACCUCUGCCUCCCGGGUUCAAGCGAUUCUCCUGCCUCGGCCUCCUGAAUAGCUGGGAUUACAGUUUCAGGAAAAUGCCAGUGAAGGGAAGGCCCCUGCAGAAGACGUCUUUAAGAAGCCCCUGCCUCCUACUGUGAAGAAGGAAGAGAGUCCCCCUCCACCUAAAGUGGUAAACCCACUGAUCGGCCUCUUGGGUGAAUAUGGAGGAGACAGUGACUAUGAGGAGGAAGAAGAGGAGGAACAGACCCCUCCCCCACAGCCCCGCACAGCACAGCCCCAGAAGCGAGAGGAGCAAACCAAGAAGGAGAAUGAAGAAGACAAACUCACUGACUGGAAUAAACUGGCUUGUCUGCUUUGCAGAAGGCAGUUUCCCAAUAAAGAAGUUCUGAUCAAACACCAGCAGCUGUCAGACCUGCACAAGCAAAACCUGGAAAUCCACCGGAAGAUAAAACAGUCUGAGCAGGAGCUAGCCUAUCUGGAAAGGAGAGAACGAGAGGGAAAGUUUAAAGAAAGAGGAAAUGAUCGCAGGGAAAAGCUCCAGUCUUUUGACUCUCCAGAAAGGAAACGGAUUAAGUACUCCAGGGAAACUGACAGUGAUCGUAAACUUGUUGAUAAAGAAGAUAUCGACACUAGCAGCAAAGGAGGCUGUGUCCAACAGGCUACUGGCUGGAGGAAAGGGACAGGCCUGGGAUAUGGCCAUCCUGGAUUGGCUUCAUCAGAGGAGGCUGAAGGCCGGAUGAGGGGCCCCAGUGUUGGAGCCUCAGGAAGAACCAGCAAAAGACAGUCCAACGAGACUUAUCGAGAUGCUGUUCGAAGAGUCAUGUUUGCUCGAUAUAAAGAACUCGAUUAAGAAUGGAGACAAGUUCCAUGGGACACAACCUCCCUCUUGUUUUGUUUGUCUCUCCUUUUCUUUUGUUACUGUUCUUGCUGCUAGAACUUUUUUAAAUAAACUUUUUUUCAAUGUGA